UCUCUCUUUCUCUCUCAAACACACGCAGAGGUUUCUUGUUACAGAAAACCCUCGAUAUUCUCACUUUCUUUCUCUGGAAACCAAUAAAAAGCUUGGGCUAAAACCAUAGAAACCAGAAGGCAAACAAUGGAAGAAAAUAACAGUAACAACGUGGCUAGCAACGUGGCCCAAGCCAUUGCCGUAGCUCUCGACUGGAGCUCCACUUCCGAUGCUCGCAAAGCAGCCGUCGCUUUCCUCGAAUCCAUUAAAGCCGGAGAUGUACGCGUUUUGGCGAACACAUCAUUCCAUCUAGUGAAAAAGGAUUGGUCUUCCGAAAUUCGGUUGCAUGCAUUUAAAAUGUUACAGCAUUUGGUCCGGUUGAGGUGGGAAGAAUUAAGCCCUACAGAGCGUAGAAACUUUGCAAAUAUCACCGUUGAUUUAAUGUCUGAUAUUGCAAAUCCCAGUGAGGAGUGGGCUUUGAAAAGUCAGACAGCAGCCCUUGUUGCUGAGAUGGUUAGAAGAGAAGGACUAAAUCUUUGGCAAGAACUGCUUCCAACUCUGGUUUCAUUAUCUUACAAGGGUCCUAUACAAGCUGAGUUGGUCUGCAUGAUGCUAAGGUGGCUUCCUGAAGAUAUUACUGUUCACAAUGAAGAUUUGGAAGGUGAUCGGAGAAGGUUAUUGUUGCGUGGGCUGACACAAUCUUUACCUGAAAUAUUGCCUCUAUUAUACACUUUACUAGAGAGGCACUUUGGGGCUGUGUUGAAUGAAGCAGGAAAACAACAAUUGGACCUCGCAAAACAACAUGCAGCAACAGUAACAGCUAUUUUGAAUGCUGUUAAUGCAUAUUCUGAAUGGGCUCCAUUGCCUGAUCUUGCAAAAUAUGGUAUAAUUCAUGGGUGUGGUUUCUUACUUUCUUCACCUGACUUCUGUCUUCAUGCUUGUGAGUUUUUCAAACUUGUUUCCCAAAGGAAGAGACCUAUUGAUGAUACCUCUGCUCCGGAAUUUGAUUCUGCAAUGAGUAAUAUCUUUCAUAUAUUGAUGAAUGUCUCCAAAGAAUUUUUGUACAGAUCAGGCCCCAGUGCUGGGGUAAUUGAUGAAAGCAAUAUUGAGUUUGCGGAAUAUAUAUGUGAAAGUAUGGUAUCUUUGGGUUCUACAAACUUGCAAUGUAUUGCUGGUGAUAGCACCAUGCUAGGUCUUUAUUUACAACAGAUGCUAGGUUUUUUUCAGCAUUUGAAGCUAGCUCUUCACUUUCAAUCUCUCCACUUUUGGCUGGCACUAAUGAGAGACUUGAUGUCAAAGCCAAAGGCUGUUGCUCGCUCAGCUGGAGAUGGUUCUGACCCAGUCGAUACUGAAAAGAGAAAGAUCUUAAGUUUUUUGAGUGAUGAAAUAUGUAGUGCAAUUCUGGAUGUAUCUUUCCAACACAUGCUCAAGCGAGAAAAGGUUCUUCAUGGAACAUCAUUUGCUUUGGGGCCGUUGGAGUUAUGGAGUGAUGAUGCUGAGGGGAAGGGAAAUUUUGGCCAGUAUCGUUCAAAGUUGUUAGAACUGGUCAAGUUGGUAACUUCAUACAAGCCUCUUAUAGCUGGGGCUAAUGUUUCUGAAAGAAUUGAUAAAAUCAUCAAAAACCUCUUGCUUUCUCCAAUGCCUGCUCAGGACUUAGCUGUGAUGGAAAGCAUGCAGCUGGCUUUAGAAAAUGUUGUAAGCACCAUUUUUGAUGGAUCAAAUGAAAUUGGUGGGGGUCAUUCUGAAGUUCAACAUGGCCUGUGCAAAAUAUUUGAAGGUUUGCUUCAGCAAUUUCUUUCUUUGAAGUGGACUGAGCCGGCCCUUGUGGAAGUACUGGGGCACUACUUGGAUGCAAUGGGGCCAUUUUUGAAGUAUUUUCCAGAUGCUGCAGGCGGUGUCAUUAAUAAAUUAUUUGAGCUCCUAAACUCACUUCCUUUUGUUGUUAAGGAUCCAUCUACAAAUAGUGCACGGUACGCAAGGUUACAAAUUUGUACAUCAUUUAUUCGUAUAGCCAAAACUGCUGACAAAAGUAUUCUACCUCACAUGAAGGGUAUAGCUGACACCACGGCGUAUAUGCAAAGAGAAGGUUGUUUGCUUCGUGGUGAACAUAAUCUUCUAGGUGAAGCGUUUCUUGUCAUGGCUUCUGCUGCUGGAAUUCAGCAGCAGCAAGAAGUUUUGGCCUGGUUACUAGAACCUUUGAGCCAGCAAUGGACGCAGCUUGAGUGGCAAAAUAAUUAUCUAUCUGAACCACUAGGUCUUGUUCGCUUGUGCUCUGAGACCCCAGUUAUGUGGUCAGUUUUCCACACUAUCACAUUCUUUGAGAAGGCACUUAAGAGAAGUGGAACCAGAAAAGCGCAUUUGAAUUUGCAAAACAACUCAACCGAAACUGCUACUCCCUUGCACCCUAUGGCUUCUCAUCUCUCAUGGAUGCUGCCACCUCUUCCAAAACUGCUUCGCUCCAUUCAUUCCCUUUGGUCUCCAUCUGUAUCCCAAACACUUCCUGGAGAGAUUAAAGCUGCAAUGACCAUGAGUGAUGUUGAGCAAUUCAGUCUUCUUGGUGAAGGAAACCCUAAAUUUUCAAAGGGUGCGGUAACCUUUUCUAGUGGAUCUCUUAUCAGUGCAAGUAAGGAAGGAUACACAGAGCCAAAUGAAUCAGACAUACGAAAUUGGUUGAAAGGUAUCAGAGACAGUGGGUACAAUGUAUUGGGCUUGGCAACCACUGUUGGAGAGUCAUUUUACAAAUGUUUGGAUAGUCAAUCUGUUGCUCUAGCUCUAGUGGAGAAUAUACAUUCAAUGGAAUUCAGACAUAUCAGACUGCUUGUUCAUUCAGUUUUAAUUCCCUUGGUUAAAUUUUGCCCUGUGGAUUUGUGGGAGACAUGGUUAGAGAAGCUCUUGCACCCAUUAUUUCAACACUCCCAGCAGGCUCUUAGUUGCUCCUGGUCCAGUCUUCUACGUGAAGGGAGAGCAAAGGUCCCAGAUGCCCAUGCCAUACUCGCUGGGUCAGACUUAAAAGUGGAAGUAAUGGAAGAAAAGCUACUUAGGGAUUUAACUCGGGAGAUUUGUUCACUCCUCUCUGUUAUAGCUUCACCACAGCUAAAUACCGGGCUUCCUUCCUUGGAGCACUCUGGGCAUGUUAGUCGUGUUGACGUUUCUUCACUCAAAGAUUUGGAUGCAUUCACUUCUAGCUCUAUGGUUGGUUUCCUGUUGAAGCACAAAGGUCUUGCCCUUCCAGCGCUGCAGAUAUGUUUAGAAGCUUUUACAUGGACAGAUGGUGAAUCCAUGACUAAAGUUUCUUCCUUUUGUGCUGCUUUGGUUGCUCUAACGAUAUCAACAAAUAGUACGGAACUCCAACAAUUUGUGUCUAAGGAUCUCUUUUCUGCAAUCAUCCAAGGUUUAGCCCUUGAAUCAAAUGCUUUCAUCAGUGCUGAUUUGAUUAGUCUCUGUCGUGAUAUAUACAUAUAUCUUUGUGAUAGAGAUCCAACUCCUAGGCAGGUUCUGCUCUCACUCCCUUGUAUCAAACAGCACGAUUUGCUUGCUUUUGAAGAAGCUUUGACGAAGACAUAUAGUCCCAAAGAACAAAAGCAACAUAUGAAAAGCUUGCUAUUACUAGCUACUGGAAACAAGUUGAAAGCCCUUGUUGCUCAGAAAAGCGUAAAUGUAAUAACAAAUGUAUCAACAAGGCCUCGCAACACCGUCAACGUUGCAGAAACCAGAGUGGAUGAGGGAGAGAGUGUUGGACUGGCAGCCAUAUUGUGAUGCAUGUGUGAUCUCUUGUACAGAAAUGAAUUCAAGUGGAAGACGGAAAAUCCUGUUUGAGGAAUAUGAUGAGUUUGAGUGUUCUGUGCUGCUGCUGGCUGUUACAAGACUGCUUUGGUGGUGGGCCACCACCAGGGCCUGGACCUCCUGGCCCACCAGGGCCACCUGGAGGACCACCACCCCCGCCAUGAAUAAUGAAAUGAAUGAUGCAUGGAUAAUGGAUUCAUGGCAUGGCAAGGCAGCUGCUUGCUUAGCCCCAUAUAUAUAUAUAUAUAGCGUUGUAAUGUAAUCAAUCUCUGAGAGUCAAGAGUGAUUGAGAGUCAUGGUCAUGGCUGAGUUUUAUUAGUCACUGUGUGUCUGUCUGUCUGUCAUUUGAGUUUGCCAGAGGCUUUUUAAUCAGCCUCUCUCUCUCUACCAUUCGGAAUAAAAUAAAAUAUAUUUAUUUAGCUCAU